rnacentral:tRNA from 1 species
AGGAAGCUAGUCUAACCAAGACAGCUGAUUUCGACUCAGCAAAUCAUAGCCCAUGCCUAUGGCUUUCUC